UCGGCUCGUCAUCAUUGCAGCGUCCGGACGGACGUUACAAUAUUAUAAAUCAUUUCUAUCGACCGCAAUGAGCCAUUUGUUGAUUUAUGAAAAAACAAUGAAAUCUCUCAGACUUCCUCAGCCCACCCCUCCCCUCCUGCUUAACCAAGGUUAUCAAAUGUUGCCAUUAGAGCUGACAGGAGUUGGAGAGAAGUGAGUGGAAAUGGAUAAACAACAAAAGCGCAAGGGGGGUGCAGAAAAGCUGCAAGAUACAAAGCUAAAAACAAGUGGACAGCAAUAUGUCCCAAACUUACUGCCAUGUUUGCCAUCGCCACCUCAAGCUGGACUGCGGCAGCAGGUGCGGCCCCUGUCCCCCAGGGGUGUUCCAGGGUUGUGCCUUUCAUUGGUGUGGACUUCACAGGCAUUCUUCACAUUUAGCACCAAGGUCCAUGCAGCCUUCUGUCUCAGUGCCACUUUGAUGAGGAGCUCUUUAUUUUACAGGGAUAUAUGGUCUUACU